GAUGAACGCUGGCGGCGUGCUUAACACAUGCAAGUCGAACGAAAAGCGAUGGAAGCUUGGUUCUAUCAAUCUUAGUGGCGAACGGGUGAGAAACGCGUAAUCAACCCUCCCUUUAGAGGGGGACUACAGUAGGAAACGACACUUAAUACCGGAAACCACCCAAUGGUGGCAUGGGGGCGAGCUUAAAGGUGGCCGCUAUUGAUAAGCCAUCACUGAAGGAGGGGAUUGCGCCUGAUUAGCGAGCUGGAGGGGUAAAGGCCCUCCAAGGCGGUGGUCAGUAGCCGGUCUGGGAGGAUGGGCAGCCGCAAUGGGACUGGGACACGGCCCAGACUCCUUCGGGAAGCAGCAGGGGGGAAACGUGCGCAAUGGGGGGAAAGCUGACGGAACAACGCCGGGGGAGUGAUGACGGGCUUCGGGUUGUGAAGGUCUGUUUGUCGGGACGAAAGGUCCUUGGGCGAAUACGGCGCGGAUUUGACGGUACCGGAAUAAGAAGCCACGGCUAACUACGUG
rnacentral:rRNA from 1 species